GAGGUGUAUUAACACAAAGAUCUGCU
rnacentral:tRNA from 1 species